GACGAACGCUGGCGGCGUGCUUAACACAUGCAAGUCGAACGGAAAGGCCCUGCUUUUGUGGGUUGCUCGAGUGGCGAACGGGUGAGUAACACGUGCGUAACCUGCCCUUGACUUUGGGAUAACUUCAGGAAACUGGGGCUAAUACCGGAUAGGAGCUCCUGCUUCAUGGUGGGGGUUGGAAAGAUUGGGCGGUUGGGGAUGGACUCGCGGCUUAUCAGCUUGUUGGUGGGGUAGUGGCUUACCAAGGCUUUGACGGGUAGCCGGCCUGAGAGGGUGACCGGCCACAUUGGGACUGAGAUACGGCCCAGACUCCUGCGGGAGGCAGCAGUGUGGAAUAUUGCCCAAUGGGCGGAAGCCUGAUGCAGCAACGCCGCGUGCGGGAUGACGGCCUGCGUGUUGUAGACCGCUUUCGCCUGUAACGAAGCGUGAGUGACGGUAAUGGGUAAAGAAGCACCGGCUAAUUACGUG
rnacentral:rRNA from 1 species